rnacentral:rRNA from 1 species
UACAGAGGGUGCGAACGUUGCUCGGAAUUACUGGGCGUAAAGCGCAUGUAGGCGGAUCCAUAAGUCGGGCGUGAAAUCCCCAGGCUCAACCUGGGAACUGCGCUCGAAACUGUGGGUCUUGAGUGUCGGAGAGGAUGGCGGAAUUCCUGGUGUAGAGGUGAAAUUCGUAGAUAUCAGGAGGAACACCAGUGGCGAAGGCGGCUCACUGGCCCGAUACUGACGCUGAGGCGCGAAAGCUAGGGGAGCAAACGGG